GACGAACGCUGGCGGCGUGCCUAAUACAUGCCAGUCGAACGGACAGGCCCUGCUUUUGCUGCGUUCUCGAUUGGCGAACGGGUGAGUAACACGUGUGUAACCUCCCCCUAUCUUUGGGAUAACUUCAGGAAACACCGGCUCUUAUCGGGUAGGAUCUCCUGCUGCAUGUUGGUGGUUGGAAAGUUUCGGCGGUUGGGGAUGGACUGGCUGCUUACCCGCUUGUUUGUGGGGUAGUGGCUUACCAAGCUUUUGACGGCUAGCCGGCAUGAGAGGGUUACCGGCCACAUUGGGACUGAGAUACGGACCAGACGCCUACGGGAGGCAGCAGUGGGGAAUAUUGCACAAUGGGCGGAAGCCUGAUGCAGCAACGCCGCGUGCGGGAUGACGGCCUUCGGGUUGUAAACCGCUUUCGCAGGUGACGAAGCGUGAGUGACGGUAAUGGGUAAAGAAGCACCGGCUAACUACGUG
rnacentral:rRNA from 1 species